rnacentral:rRNA from 1 species
CCCCUAGAUGUUCUGGGCCGCACGCGCGCUACACUGAUUCAUGCAACAAGUUUUGUCCUUGGCUGAUAGGCCUGGGUAAUCUUUGAACGUGAAUCGUGAUGGGGAUAGAUGAUUGCAAUUAUUCAUCUUCAACGAGGAAUUCCUAGUAAACGCAAGUCAUCAGCUUGCAUUGAUUACGUCCCUGCCCUUUGUACACACCGCCCGUCGCACCUACCGAUUGAAUGGUCCGGUGAAAUCUUCGGAUCUGAGAGAUGUCUGAUUAAUUUCGGACGCCUUUUGGAAAAGUUGUUUAAACCUUACCAUUUAGAGGAAGGUGAANUCGUANCA